rnacentral:rRNA from 1 species
AUGAACGCUGGCGGCGUGCCUAAUACAUGCAAGUCGAGCGAACAGACGAGGAGCUUGCUCCUCUGACGUUAGCGGCGGACGGGUGAGUAACACGUGGAUAACCUACCUAUAAGACUGGGAUAACUUCGGGAAACCGGAGCUAAUACCGGAUAAUAUAUUGAACCGCAUGGUUCAAUAGUGAAAGGCGGUUUUGCUGUCACUUAUAGAUGGAUCCGCGCCGCAUUAGCUAGUUGGUAAGGUAACGGCUUACCAAGGCAACGAUGCGUAGCCGACCUGAGAGGGUGAUCGGCCACACUGGAACUGAGACACGGUCCAGACUCCUACGGGAGGCAGCAGUAGGGAAUCUUCCGCAAUGGGCGAAAGCUUGACGGAGCAACGCCGCGUGAGUGAUGAAGGUCUUCGGAUCGUAAAACUCUGUUAUUAGGGAAGAACAAAUGUGUAAGUAACUAUGCACGUCUUGACGGUACCUAAUCAGAAAGCCACGGCUAACUACGUG